rnacentral:rRNA from 1 species
UACGGAGGGGGCUAGCGUUGUUCGGAAUUACUGGGCGUAAAGCGCACGUAGGCGGAUAGUUAAGUCGGGGGUGAAAUCCCGGGGCUCAACCCCGGAACUGCCUUUGAUACUGUCUGUCUUGAGUCCGGGAGAGGUGAGUGGAAUUCCUAGUGUAGAGGUGAAAUUCGUAGAUAUUAGGAAGAACACCAGUGGCGAAGGCGGCUCACUGGCCCGGUACUGACGCUCAUGUGCGAAAGCGUGGGGAGCAAACAGG